GGAAACGGUGGCUAAUACCCGGAUGUGCCGAAAGGUGAAAGGCUUGCUGCCUAGAGAUGAGCUCGCGUCUGAUUAGCUAGUAGGUGUGGUAAGAGCGCACCUAGGCGACGAUCAGUAGCUGGUCUGAGAGGAUGAUCAGCCACACUGGGACUGAGACACGGCCCAGACUCCUACGGGAGGCAGCAGUGGGGAAUUUUCCGCAAUGGGCGAAAGCCUGACGGAGCAAUACCGCGUGAGGGAGGAAGGCUCUUGGGUUGUAAACCUCUUUUCUCAGGGAAUAAAAAAAUGAAGGUACCUGAGGAAUCAGCAUCGGCUAACUCCGUGCCAGCAGCCGCGGUAAUACGGAGGAUGCAAGCGUUAUCCGGAAUGAUUGGGCGUAAAGCGUCCGCAGGUGGCUGUGUAAGUCUGCUGUUCAAGAGCAAAGCUUAACUUUGUAAAAGCACGUGGAAACUACACACCUAGAGUGCGUCUCGGGGCACAGGGAAUUACUGGUGUAACGCUCGGAAUUCGUACAGACUCAGGAACAACACCGGUUGGCUAAGGCGCUCCUGCUAAGCCGCCACUCGACACUUCCUGGACGACAAGCUAC
rnacentral:rRNA from 1 species